GCUUACCAUGCAGUCGUGGGGCAGCAGGGGGGAACUUCGGUUCCCCUGCUGGCGACCGGCGGACGGGUGCGUAACACGUAGCUACUUGCCUUGCAGUGGGGGAUAACCCGGGGAAACCCGGGCUAAUACCGCAUACACCCGAGAGGGGAAAGGCCCGUAAGGGUCGCUGCAAGAUAGGGCUGCGGCGUAUCAGCUAGUUGGUGGGGUAACGGCCUACCAAGGCUAUGACGCGUAGCUGGUCUGAGAGGAUGAUCAGCCACACUGGAACUGAGACACGGUCCAGACUCCUACGGGAGGCAGCAGUGGGGAAUCUUGGGCAAUGGGCGAAAGCCUGACCCAGCAACGCCGCGUGGAGGAAGAAGCCCUUCGGGGUGUAAACUCCUUUUGCAGGGGAAGAGAGUGACGGUACCCUGCGAAUAAGCUCCGGCUAACUCCGUGCCAGCAGCCGCGGUAAUACGGGGGGAGCGAGCGUUACUCGGAAUUACUGGGCGUAAAGGGUGCGUAGGCGGCUUAGUAAGUUAGGAGUGAAAGCCUACGGCUUAACCGUAGGAUUGCUCCUAAAACUGCUAAGCUAGAGUCCGGGAGAGGCUGCGGGAAUUCCUGGUGUAGGGGUGAAAUCCGUAGAGAUCAGGAGGAAUGCCGAAAGCGAAGGCGCGCAGCUGGAACGGUACUGACGCUGAGGCACGAAAGCG
rnacentral:rRNA from 1 species